rnacentral:rRNA from 1 species
GUGAACGCUGGCGGUAGGCCUAACCCCUGCCGGUCGAACGGCAGCACAGUAAGAGCUUGCUCUUACGGGUGGCGAGUGGCGGACGGGUGAGGAAUACAUCGGAAUCUACUUUUUCGUGGGAGAUAACGUAGGGAAACUUACGCUAAUACCGCAUACGACCUACGGGUGAAAGCAGGGGAUCUUCGGACCUUGCGCGAUUGAAUGAGCCGAUGUCGGAUUAGCUAGUUGGCGGGGUAAAGGCCCACCAAGGCGACGAUCCGUAGCUGGCCUGAGAGGAUGAUCAGCCACACUGGAACUGAGACACGGUCCAGACUCCUACGGGAGGCAGCAGUGGGGAAUAUUGGACAAUGGGCGCAAGCCUGAUCCAGCCAUACCGCGUGGGUGAAGAAGGCCUUCGGGUUGUAAAGCCCUUUUGUUGGGAAAGAAAAGCAGCAGGUUAAUACCCCGCUGUUCUGACGGUACCCAAAGAAUAAGCACCGGCUAACUUCGUG